UGGGGAAUUUUGGACAAUGGGGGCAACCCUGAUCCAGCAAUGCCGCGUGUGUGAAGAAGGCCUUCGGGUUGUAAAGCACUUUUGUCCGGAAAGAAAACGCCGUGGUUAAUACCCGUGGCGGAUGACGGUACCGGAAGAAUAAGCACCGGCUAACUACGUGCCAGCAGCCGCGGUAAUACGUAGGGUGCAAGCGUUAAUCGGAAUUACUGGGCGUAAAGCGUGCGCAGGCGGUCCGCUAAGACAGAUGUGAAAUCCCCGGGCUUAACCUGGGAACUGCAUUUGUGACUGGCGGGCUAGAGUAUGGCAGAGGGGGGUAGAAUUCCACGUGUAGCAGUGAAAUGCGUAGAGAUGUGGAGAAUACCGAUGCGAAGGCAGCCCCUGGGCCAAUACUGAGCUCAUGCACGAAAGCGUGGGG
rnacentral:rRNA from 1 species